rnacentral:rRNA from 1 species
GAUGAACGCUGGCGGCGUGCCUAAUACAUGCAAGUCGAGCGAACAGACGAGGAGCUUGCUCCUCUGACGUUAGCGGCGGACGGGUGAGUAACACGUGGAUAACCUACCUAUAAGACUGGGAUAACUUCGGGAAACCGGAGCUAAUACCGGAUAAUAUAUUGAACGGCAUGGUUCAAUAGUGAAAGACGGUUUUGCUGUCACUUAUAGAUGGACCCGCGCCGCAUUAGCUAGUUGGUAAGGUAACGACUUACCAAGGCAACGAUGCGUAGCCGACCAGAGAGGUGGAUCGGCAACACUGGAACUGAGACACGGUCCAGACUCCUACGGGAGGCAGCAGUAGGGAAUCUUCCGCAAUGGGCGAAAGCCUGACGGAGCAACGCCGCGUGAGUGAUGAAGGUCUUCGGAUCGUAAAACUCUGUUAUUAGGGAAGAACAAAUGUGUAGUAACUAUGCACGUCUUGACGGUACCUAAACAGAAAGCCACGGCUAACUACGUG